rnacentral:ncRNA from 1 species
AGCACUAGGGGAGCUAUGUAUUUGGCUGAGAAGAACGCUAACGUUCUGACCCUUUGCACCCGAACUGGAUAAUACCAGCGUGGGGAAGCGCG